AUUCAGUGACAACAUCGACUUUGAAGUUGCACUGACCUGGCCAGCCCUGCCACUUACCAGGUUGGGCUGUGGCUUGCCUUUUCACUUCUUGUGUCCUGUUUAAGAAAUAUCUACUAUCCCAAGCAUCUGGCAUCUUUCUUGACACAUGUAGCAGUUGCUUUUUGACAGCUUGCUUCUUCAGUGAAUGAAUAAAUUAAUAAAGAGAAAUGUGAUGUUCAGUGAUCCAUUUUGCAGAUUGCAAACUCCUAGAGAAGGGCUCAACAGUGAGUGCUGAGGCUGCACAGAGGAGGAAGGCAGCACAAUGAUGGAAGGCUUCCUAAAGAGAUAACACUAACAAAGUUGACCUUAGAAUUGGAGUGCCUGGGUUAGAACCCUGCUGGUACCACCUGCUUACUGCAUGCUUCUGAUGUGAGUUCAGGAGAAGACACUGGCAAGGACAGCAAAGAACAGGAGAACACUCUAGCUUCCCUGAUAGCAUUCAAGGUGCUGUCCAAAUUCUUGAAUCCAGUUCAUGAAUCAAGGGAGAUCCUUGGAUGUCUGAUGGCUGCUAUUCUGUUUCUCAAACAAUUUGAAUUCAGCAAGCCAUCACUGAAGAUAUGGAGUCACACAGUCAAGUUUAAAUCCAUGCUAUGCUAUUUAAAACUUGCAAUUUUUGCUUCAGUUUCUGAAACGGUAAGGGGCACAGGGAUAAUACAGUCUGCUUACCAUAUGGGUGAAGAUGUGGGGGAAGAUUAAAUACAUUGUUCUUACAUGAAAUUGUAAAUAGAAAGCUCCUCCACAGUAAGCUAUCAGCUAAAGCUAGUUUACUUUCCACUGCUCUUCAAUAACGGAAAGAGUAAUUUUUCAUUACU
rnacentral:lncRNA from 1 species